CCGACUUAAUCCUUUAGCCGAUACUUCUUCCUCUCUUCUUCCCCGACUCCCUUCCUCUUCGCUCUGUUCUCUCUCGCGGGCAAGCGACGGCGACGGGGGCAAGGCUCCAGCUCUGGCAAUCCUUCUCCGCUGGCAUCGACGCCUAUUAAUCUCAGAUCCGGCUGGUGUUCCUUCCUCUCCUCACUGUUGCCAAUCAAUUCUCGAGCCCUAACCUCUCAAUCGAUGGCCGACCAUCGCUCUUCGCAUGAAGUCGAGUUAGCAGCGCCUGAGGUACACGCGGUGCCCUAGUUGAGAUCUUGCAGUGGGUGCGAUUGAUUCCAAUCCGUGUCUCCUCAAGUUGGAUCGGAUUGGGCGACACCUCCUAGAGGCAACCGAUCGAGAGGUAUCCGGUUGGUGGACAGCAGCUGGAUUAAGGCAGUGAGGUGAGGUGCUGUUUUGGUGGAGUAUUUGCUUGAUUCCGGCCACCACAUCCCUGUCAACAAAUUGGCACAUCUGAGACAAGUGAUUUUAUAGCUUGACCUGUUCUUGAUCCGAUCAGUAGGGAGGAAUCCAGGUUUAUUCUGUGGUUUCUUUGAUCCAGCAAUUCAUCUUGUUGCUGGCAGCAACAAUCCCUGCUGUGGAUCAACAAUCAUGGUUGGAGGUGAAGUGGUGCUCUGUGGUAUUCUUUGUCCAGCAGAUCACCUUGUCUUUCCAGCCAGCUCAGUUGGUUUCCAGCAGCUCACUUUGUUCCAGCAGAGGCUGUAAAUUAGGUUGAGGCUGUCGGGAGAUAUUCCAGUCGCUAGCCCCAUUAUCGCGAGGAUUUUCUUUGUCG